GAGACUCCUGGAAACCCUGAGGAACAAAGGUUGAACUGGGGGAAGUGCUGGACCCAGGCUAAAGGGAUAUUUAGUCUGUGAAUGGAACACCUGGGAUUCCAAGCUGUAAACCAGUGCAGCUUGCCCUUUAAAAAUCGGCAGCCCGCUUGUAUUGUCAGUUUGGGUGAAGAUUUGCUAUUCAUAGCCCAUCUAUGUAGUAUAUUAAGCUUACUUUGCCUGUUUUGUUUAUUUGCUAGGUUCUGUGCUCUAUGGAUCAUGCUGCACAAUGUCUACUAAAUGCCAGAUCAUCUGUGAGACCAGUGACUCCUAAAUCAUGCAAAUAUCUCGUGUCAACAAGACAUUAACAACAUUAGAAGUCUGUGCAGAUGAUUUUCUUGGAAGAGAUUCUGAAGCGUCUGCCUGUCCAGCAUAUGGGACAUGAUGUCCCUGCAGUGUCUGAUUAAUCCCUUGCCAGGCAGCAGCAUUGGGACUGAAAGUGGAAGCUUGUGGCUCUUCGAUGAAUGUUUUCAGUGCUAGCAUGAAAGAGUCAGAAUAAGAAGCAAUGGCACAUUCAUAUUAGAGACAGACUCAAACUGAAGCCCCCAGAUGUGAAUAUCAUUGAGCUUUGGAGUAUUUGAAAUCCAAACAUGGAUCCAGAUCUAAAAUUCAACAAUGGUCGCUGUCAUUAGGGUCAAAUAAAAACUUCAUAGCCAGAAACCAUCAAGCUGAGUUGUUCAAAUUUCAGGCCCAGACUUUCUGACCGAGGCACAUCUGUAUUAACAGCUGGGAAUAAUGUGAUGAAACUGA